UCAUGGGCCUUUGGGUCACCUCUAGUGCUUGAUACAAACACUGACCACAAAGCCCAAGGCAGAGGGGUUCUUCUCUGCUUUCAGGGUCUGAGGAAUUUGGCUAAAUUCAGCCCAACCUCAGCGUACACAUCUGUUCCCUCCAGGGCUGUGUGAGUCACAGAGCUGCUCUGAUGCCAGCGAGGAUGAGGAGCCAACAAAACACCCUGGCACUUGUUCUUUUCCCUGCCAAGAAAGUUGCAAGAAGUGCUGGAUGCUGCUCUUCUGUGCUCAAGAGCCAAAAACCGGGGUGAUGGAUCACCUCGAGGCAGUGAACGCAGCACGCAGCUUCCCAAGGGACACCAGGCCAGAUUUCUCCACAGUGGCAGACCCCAAGUCAUACCUGGAGCCAGCCCAAGCCAGCUGGCCAGCCCAGGAGGAAGAGGAGCUAAUGGAUCCCACCGGCUCUCACUCAGCAACAAACAACAGCGAUUAACACGAAGUGUGAGAGACUAAUUGGACAUUUAACCCAACUCUGGCACCGCGGGCCUUGUGCUGUAGCUGAAGAGAGGAAUGAUAGGCCCAGUCCUCAGCUGCAAGGCCCUCUCCUGAGCCCAGAGCUGUAACCAGAUACACCCCGGUUGUACCCCAGCUUCCGACAGCCAAUUCCCCCCUGAGGGAUGCUCACGUUUGGUGAGUGGAGGAACAGGAGGAGAGAGGAGCUUCAUGGAAGUUGACAUGAAUAAAAACAUUC